AAACCAACAGGGAUUGCCUUAGUAGCGGCGAGUGAAGCGGCAAUAGCUCAAAUUUGAAAUCUGGCGUCUUCGGCGUCCGAGUUGUAAUUUGAAGAAGGUAUCUUUGGAAUUGGCUCUUGUCUAUGUUCCUUGGAACAGGACGUCACAGAGGGUGAGAAUCCCGUGCGAUGAGAUGCCCAAUUCCGUGUAAAGUUCCUUCGACGAGUCGAGUUGUUUGGGAAUGCAGCUCUAAGUGGGUGGUAAAUUCCAUCUAAAGCUAAAUAUUGGCGAGAGACCGAUAGCGAACAAGUACUGUGAAGGAAAGAUGAAAAGAACUUUGAAAAGAGAGUGAAAAAGUACGUGAAAUUGUUGAAAGGGAAGGGCUUGAGGUCAGACUUGGUUUUACCAGGCCAGCAUCAGUUUGGAUGGCAGGAUAAUAGCUAAGAAAUGUGGCUCCACUUCGGUGGUGUGUUAUAGUCUUGGUUGAUACUGCCUAUCUAGACUGAGGACUGCGUCUUUGACUAGGAUGCUGGCAUAAUGACCUUAAGCCGC
rnacentral:rRNA from 1 species